CCACAUUGUUUACACACCGGCAGAUGAGCAAACAGCAAGCAACACACUCUUAUAAUUAAUUUGUUUUUUCAGUGCGAAUCGAUUAAAACAAUGCUGGUAAAAGCUGAGGAGGUAUAUCACAACAACAAAAACAAUGAAUGAUAGAACAAUAAAAGGACUGCGGAUAGAAUUGUA